rnacentral:rRNA from 1 species
GAUGAACGCUGGCGGUAUGCUUAACACAUGCAAGUCGAACGGAAUCUUAGGAUUUAGUGGCGGACGGGUGAGUAACGCGUGAGAAUUUGGCUUCAGGUCGGGGAUAACAGUUGGAAACGACUGAUAAUACCGGAUGUGCCGGGAGGUGAAAGAUUUAUCGCCUGAAGAUAAGCUCGCGUCUGAUUAGCUAGUUGGUAGUGUAAGGGACUACCAAGGCGACGAUCAGGAGCUGGUCUGAGAGGAUGAUCAGCCACACUGGGACUGAGACAAGGCCCAGACUCCUGCGGGAGGCAGCAGUGGGGAAUUUGCCGCAAUGGGCGAAAGCCUGACGGAGCAAUACCGCGUGAGGAGGAAGGCUCUUGGGUCGUAAACCUCUUUUCUCAAGGAAGAAGAAAGUGAUGGUACUUGAGGAAUAAGCAUCGGCUAACUCCGUGCCAGCCGCCGCGGUAAGAC